rnacentral:rRNA from 1 species
AUGUGAGUAAUAUAUCGGAACGUACCAUUCAGUGGGGGAUAACGUAGCGAAAGUUACGCUAAUACCGCAUAUUCUGUGAGCAGGAAAGCAGGGGAUCGCAAGACCUUGCGCUGAUUGAGCGGCCGAUAUCAGAUUAGCUAGUUGGUGAGGUAAAAGCUCACCAAGGCGACGAUCUGUAGCGGGUCUGAGAGGAUGAUCCGCCACACUGGAACUGAGACACGGUCCAGACUCCUACGGGAGGCAGCAGUGGGGAAUUUUGGACAAUGGGGGCAACCCUGAUCCAGCCAUGCCGCGUGAGUGAAGAAGGCCUUCGGGUUGUAAAGCUCUUUCAGCCGGGAAGAAAACGCAUGGGUUAAUACCCUGUGUGGAUGACGGUACCGGAAUAAGAAGCACCGGCUAACUACGUGCCAGCAGCCGCGGUAAUACGUAGGGUGCGAGCGUUAAUCGGAAUUACUGGGCGUAAAGCGUGCGCAGGCGGUUUUGUAAGACAGGCGUGAAAUCCCCGGGCUUAACCUGGGAACUGCGUUUGUGACUGCAAGGCUAGAGUACGGCAGAGGGGGGUGGAAUUCCACGUGUAGCAGUGAAAUGCGUAGAGAUGUGGAGGAACACCAAUGGCGAAGGCAGCCCCCUGGGUCGAUACUGACGCUCAUGCACGAAAGCGUGGGUAGCAAACAGGAUUAGAUACCCUGGUAGUCCACGCCCUAAACGAUGUCAACUAGGUGUUGGGAGGGUAAAACCUUUUAGUACCGGAGCUAACGCGUGAAGUUGACCGCCUGGGGAGUACGGCCGCAAGGUUAAAACUCAAAGGAAUUGACGGGGACCCGCACAAGCGGUGGAUGAUGUGGAUUAAUUCGAUGCAACGCGAAAAACCUUACCUACCCUUGACAUGCCAAGAACUUUCCAGAGAUGGAUUGGUGCCCGAAAGGGAACUUGGACACAGGUGCUGCAUGGCUGUCGUCAGCUCGUGUCGUGAGAUGUUGGGUUAAGUCCCGCAACGAGCGCAACCCUUGUCGUUAAUUGCCAUCAUUUAGUUGGGCACUUUAACGAGACUGCCGGUGACAAACCGGAGGAAGGUGGGGAUGACGUCAAGUCCUCAUGGCCCUUAUGGGUAGGGCUUCACACGUCAUACAAUGGUCGAUACAAAGGGUCGCCAAGCCGCGAGGUGGAGCCAAUCCCAGAAAGCCGAUCGUAGUCCGGAUCGCAGUCUGCAACUCGACUGCGUGAAGUCGGAUCGCUAGUAAUCGUGGAUCAGCACGUCACGGUGAAUACGUUCCCAGGUCUUGUACACACCGCCCGUCACACCAUGGGAGCGGGUUCCGCCAGAAGUAGGUAGCCUAACCGCAAGGAGGGCGCUUACCA